rnacentral:misc_RNA from 1 species
AACGCAAAUGGCGCUUCUGGUAUCCCCAGGAGCAUGUCUGUCUGAGUGUCAUUAAAAUAACCUCACUCUUCCGGUUGCCCCUUACCGGGUGGCGGGCAGAGUGGCAGUGAGGCGGUCACGGACCUUUUGACAUUAAAAGUCCGAGUCCCUUCAAAUGUCGCGACGCGUUGAGUCGACUGCUUCGCCGGGAACGCAAGUUCCUAGCGAGUUGCUCGUCUUCUUGAAUGCUUUGCUCCAACUCCUUUGGUGUGACAAUUUGCUCGAAUGCGUAGCACUUACCAACGCCAACCGGGGGUUAGAGAUUUAAAAACAAAGUGUUUAUACCAAAAAGAAGGCGAGGAAUAAGUUCUGGCUCGGGUGUCUUUCCCCAUUUUUAUUUUAUUAACCUUGACCUCAGAUCAGGCAAGAUUACCCGCUGAAUUUAA